rnacentral:rRNA from 1 species
CCUACGGGAGGCAGCAGUGGGGAAUUUUGGACAAUGGGCGAAAGCCUGAUCCAGCAAUGCCGCGUGUGGGAAGAAGGCCUUCGGGUUGUAAACCACUUUUGUACGGAACGAAACGGCUCGCUUUAAUACAGUGGGCUAAUGACGGUACCGUAAGAAUAAGCACCGGCUAACUACGUGCCAGCAGCCGCGGUAAUACGUAGGGUGCGAGCGUUAAUCGGAAUUACUGGGCGUAAAGCGUGCGCAGGCGGUUAUAUAAGACAGUUGUGAAAUCCCCGGGCUCAACCUGGGAAUUGCAUCUGUGACUGUAUAGCUAGAGUACGGUAGAGGGGGAUGGAACUCCGCGUGUAGCAGUGAAAUGCGUAGAUAUGCGGAGGAACACCGAUGGCGAAGGCAAUCCCCUGGACCUGUACUGACGCUCAUGCACGAAAGCGUGGGGAGCAAACAGGAUUAGAUACCCUGGUAGUCCACGCCCUAAACGAUGUCAACUGGUUGUUGGGUGCAUUAGUACUCAGUAACGAAGCUAACGCGUGAAGUUGACCGCCUGGGGAGUACGGCCGCAAGGUUGAAACGUCAAAGAGAGUGCGNGNGAGAGCGACGACGACGACGACGGAGGAGGAGG